GCGAGUGUAGUGUAGGGGUUAUCAUUCAACCUUCCCAUUCUCCAUUGGAAGAGGUUGAGAUCCGAGUUCGAGUCUCGGCACUCGCA